UGUAUGUAUGUAUAUAUGUACGUGCAGUUAUCAGAAGGGUAUCAGAUGCCAUUGCAGCUUAACCCUCACCCCGAAGAAAUCGGCUAUGGCCGCCAACCACAGCACGACGCCUUCUUCCACCCCUUGGAUUCUGAGCCUAUCCUCCAAAUCGGGUACCAACAGCAGCAAGAUGUGAUGAAUGCAGCAGCAGCAGCAGGUGCAGGGCCGAGCGUGAAUAACUAUAUGCUUGGUUGGUUACCUUAUGACAACAAUUGAAAUUGUGUCAAAUGAGGGCUUUUUUAAUUGUUUAUAACAUUUUUAAUUAAAAGUGUUACACUUUUAAUUAAUUUUCUUGGGGGUUUAAAAUCUUUUAAAAAAAACAUCGGUCCAAUCUCCUGUUGGUGGGUCGAUAUCUGUUUUGUGUUCGAGCUUCCAUAUUUGUGUGCGUGUGUGUGUAAUGUAAUGCAUAAGCUGUUUUUUUUUUCUGCUUCGUUGUUUAAUGUCUCAACAAUAAUACUAUAUUUUUGUUUUGUAUCUUUUUUUUCCCUUACAUGAACUUGAUCAAUAA